UUAGGAAUCUUCUGCAAUGCGCGAAAGCGUGACAGAUUGAGCCAGAGUGCUUUUCUUUUUUGAAAAGCUUUUGCCAAAUACAAAAAGUUUGGCGAAUAAGGACUGGGUAAGACGGGUGCCAGCCGCCGCGGUAAUACCCGCGGUCCAAGUCGCAGCCAUUAUUAUUGAGUCUAAAACAUCCGUAGCUUGCUUAGUAAGUUUCCUGUGAAAUUCCAUCUCUCAAGGAUGGAGCGGGCAGGGAGUACUGCUGAGCUAGAGACCGGAAGACGUGAAAAGUACGUCCAAAGUAGCGGUAAAAUGUGUUAAUCUUGGACGGACUAACAACAGCGAAGGCAUUUCACGAGGACGGUUCUGACAGUAAGGGAUGAAGGCUAGGGGCGCAAAACGG
rnacentral:rRNA from 1 species